GGUGGUUCAGUGGUAGAAUGCUCGCCUGCCACGCGGGCGGCCCGGGCUUGAUUCCUGGCGGGUUCG